AACGAACGCUGGCGGCAUGCCUAACACAUGCAAGUCGAACGAAGUCCUUCGGGGCUUAGUGGCGCACGGGUGCGUAACGCGUGGGAAUCUGCCCUUGGGUUCGGAAUAACAGUUAGAAAUGACUGCUAAUACCGGAUGAUGACGAAAGUCCAAAGAUUUAUCGCCCAGGGAUGAGCCCGCGUAGGAUUAGGUAGUUGGUGGGGUAAAGGCCUACCAAGCCGACGAUCCUUAGCUGGUCUGAGAGGAUGAUCAGCCACACUGGGACUGAGACACGGCCCAGACUCCUACGGGAGGCAGCAGUGGGGGAUAUUGCACAAUGGGCGCAAGCCUGAUGCAGCGACGCCGCGUGGGGGAUGGAGGCUUUCGGGUUGUAAACCCCUUUCGGCGCGGGACAAGGCUCCGUUUGGCGGGGUUGAGGGUACGCGUCAAAGAAGCGCCGGCUAACUACGUGCCAGCAGCCGCGGUAAUACGUAGGGCGCGAGCGUUGUCCGGAAUUAUUGGGCGUAAAGGGCUCGUAGGCGGCUUGUCGCGUCUGCUGUGAAAACGCGGGGCCCAACUCCGCGCGUGCAGUGGGUACGGGCAGGCUGGAGUGCGGCAGGGGUGGCUGGAAUUCCUGGUGUAGCGGUGGAAUGCGCAGAUAUCAGGAAGAACACCGAUGGCGAAGGCAGGCCACUGGGCCGUCACUGACGCUGAGGAGCGAAAGCGUGGGGAGCGAACAGG
rnacentral:rRNA from 1 species